rnacentral:rRNA from 1 species
CCUGACUGCUAUCGGAUUGGUACUAAGCCAUGCGAGUCAUUGUAGCAAUACAAGGCAUACGGCUCAGUAACGCGUAGUCAACCUAACCUAUGGACGGGAAUAACCUCGGGAAACUGAGAAUAAUGCCCGAUAGAACACUAUACCUGGAAUGGUUUGUGUUCCAAAUGAUUUAUCGCCAUAGGAUGGGACUGCGGCCUAUCAGUUUGUUGGUGAGGUAAUGGCCCACCAAGACUAUUACAGGUACGGGCUCUGGGAGGAGUAGCCCGGAGAUGGGUACUGAGACACGGACCCAGGCCCUAUGGGGCGCAGCAGGCGAGAAAACUUUGCAAUGUGCGAAAGCACGACAAGGUUAAUCCGAGUGAUUUGUGCUAAACGAAUCUUUUGUUAGUCCUAGAAACACUAACGAAUAAGGGGUGGGCAAGUUCUGGUGUCAGCCGCCGCGGUAAAACCAGCACCUCAAGUGGUCAGGAUGAUUAUUGGGCCUAAAGCAUCCGUAGCCGGCUCUGUAAGUUUUCGGUUAAAUCUGUACGCUUAACGUACAGGCCGCCGGGAAUACUGCAGAGCUAGGGAGUGGGAGAGGUAGACGGUACUCGGUAGGAAGUGGUAAAAUGCUUUGAUCUAUCGAUGACCACCUGUGGCGAAGGCGGUCUACCAGAACACGUCCGACGGUGAGGGAUGAAAGCUGGGGGAGCAAACCGGAUUAGAUACCCGGGUAGUCCCAGCUGUAAACUAUGCAAACUCAGUGAUGCAUUGGCUUGUGGCCAAUGCAGUGCUGCAGGGAAGCCGUUAAGUUUGCCGCCUGGGAAGUACGUACGCAAGUAUGAAACUUAAAGGAAUUGGCGGGGGAGCACCACAAGGGGUGAAGCCUGCGGUUC